AGAUACCGUUACAUACAUACAUAAACGUGUAUGAAGGCACGUAUUAUGCAAAACCUCACAAUCGAGACACCGGCCGGUAAACACACGAAAUUUAAGCCGACUCUCACACUUUAAACAGUUCGAAAUACACAACAAUAAUAAACAUUUAAAGCAGCCGGAGAGCUUUUUUGUCAUUAAGCACACAAAAAAUUAAUCGAUGGAUAUUAGUGUAAGCGUUAUUUAAGGAUUUUAUGAAAGCUGCACGGACCUUCUAUGUACGUGCACUUACCUCGAAACCAGAAAACGGAAAGACCGAAACCGUCAGAGACAGGCAGUCGGUUGACGAUGAGACCGAGAGACGAUCCGAGCCGAUGCACGAUGAUGCAACGCCGAAUGGCUGACAGAGUAGCCACCAACUGGGGCAAGGGAUAGACAUGGGAUGACAAAAUUGAGAAUUGCGGCAAGAAGAAGAACACUUGAGUUGCCGUUAGCUGUUCGUGGCGGUCAGCUGUUUUCCUUUUAAUGUGUGUAACGAACGUUGAUUUUAUUACGGUGGAAUAUCUAUCCUCGAGCCAGCAUAUUUUAUUGAACGAAUGCUUUCAAAGAAGACAUUCAAACGAUGCUGUUUUGACAGUAUUUUUACACAUAAAUGCUUUCUGUUGAAAAAAGUAUCUAUAGUACUUUGAAAGGUAUCACAUUAAACAAAAAUUGAACUUAAAUCUUCGGUAAUCGGCAAUCUGCCAUUUGUGGUGAAACUUAAAUGGGAAUGAAAAUUUCCCUUCAGUUUAAUCAAAAAUUUCUGUAAUAUACUUUAAUAUAAUCAACACAGAAAUAAAAUUUCUAUCAGAAAUUA